rnacentral:tRNA from 2 species
UGGUCGGGAUAGCUCAGCUGGUAGAGCAGAGGACUGA